AACGAACGCUGGCGGCAUGCCUAACACAUGCAAGUCGAACGAGCCCUUCGGGUCUAGUGGCGCACGGGUGCGUAACGCGUGGGAACCUGCCCUUAGGUUCGGAAUAACUCCCCGAAAGGGGUGCUAAUACCGGAUAAUGUCUUCGGACCAAAGAUUUAUCGCCUUUGGAUGGGCCCGCGUUGGAUUAGCUAGUUGGUAGGGUAAAAGCCUACCAAGGCGACGAUCCAUAGCUGGUCUGAGAGGAUGAUCAGCCACACUGGGACCGAGACACGGCCCAGACUCCUACGGGAAGCAGCAGUGGGGAAUAUUGGACAAUGGGCGAAAGCCUGAUCCAGCAAUGCCGCGUGAGUGAUGAAGGCCUUAGGGUUGUAAAGCUCUUUUACCCGGGAUGAUAAUGACAGUACCGGGAGAAUAAGCUCCGGCUAACUCCGUG
rnacentral:rRNA from 1 species